AACAGAAUUACAAACAGCUACGGGUAUUGGAGGAAAAAAAAGAAUCCUAAUAUACUUUAUUCUUUAUGAAAGCUCUAAGAGAUCUAAUUAUUUGUUUUAAUGAGAAGACUGAAGGAAGCUGCACUCUUAUUUGGAAGUACAAAGAUGUGCUACUUGAACGCUUCAGUUUAUGCGAAACUAUUUCACUUGACUGUACUGAGUUUUCAUGAGUUUGUACAGCAUCAGCUGAAAUGGAGCCCUUGGAACAGGGCUAAACAAUACAGUUGCGCUAAUAAUGAAGAAUCUGUGAUCAGCCAUUGACAUUGUUGAAUGGGAGGUUGUUAUGCACUUCAUGCCCAUUAAGAAGACAGUAAACUGUUGAUUAUGAGCAUUCCGUAGUACACAUUUUUCUUACUAUACAGUGUCAAAGGCCAUAUGCGUGGUUUUUCUGCUCAAUCUGCGAAGGCAUUCACAAUUGUUUCACUCAGAUGUAAGGACCCAUCUCAGUUCUGCCUCUGUGCCAGCCUGUAAAACAUGGAUCAGUGCUAAGUAUUCUGCUGUCUUGUGCACAAAAUAUUGCUCAAGCGCAUGUUCUUUAAUAGUUGCAUCACCUUCAUUGCUGGUGUUACUGAGAGGUGUAGGAUACACAAGGCUUCCGUCAGUGCAGGCGGUUUGCCAUCAUUUUCUGAAGUUGGCUGUGCUGUCCUUCAGUGUUCUGAUGGACAUAUCUCUUACGUCAGUCACAGAUUUCUCUGCAUUCAAUGAUCGUGUCUCGAGUAGAACAAAUCUCUAAUAGGGUAAUGUUAAGUUUGGGGGAUACUUCUCGUCCUCAAUGCAAAACAUCUUGGUACAAAAAUUGGUCAAGUGGCCAUACAUUAGAAAGAUCUAUACAGUCUGGAAUAGAGAAUGUUUCUGGGCUUUGAAUGGAAAAUUGUUUAUUUAGAGGGGAAAAUAAGUACUUCAUCCUAUAAUCUGCAUCCUAAAAAUGCAGGAAUCAAAAUACUGCAUCCUAAAAUGUAGGAAACUUCAACACAAAUUUCACUCUUAGUUUUAAAGAAGGAUCAAGUCUGUAUGGAAAAAGCUUGCUUCAAAAAGCAAAUUACUGAGAUGUGACAUGGGGGAAAAAAAGAAAAGCAUUUAGGGGCUUUUGAAUUAGUAUUUCCAGUGCCGUAAUGUCAUUUAGUGACUUGGAAUGGUGUGGUAUUUGUAGUUAACUUCCUUAGCCUCAGUGAGAGUGAAAUUCUUGGAAAGAAGGAUGGAUUUGUGAUUUAAAUGUGAAAUUGGAAAACAGGAGAUUUAUUUCUGGUUAGAUGACAGAUAAUUUGAUUUGGGGGAAAUAUCACUUUCUGUUCCUUAAUGUCUGCUUAUGAAAACUGGAGAUUCACAAAGAAUAUUGCUUGAUUCAUCUGAAUAGAGGAUUUUAUUAAUUGUAAUGUAUUUUAAGACCCAGAAUAGGAAAGUAAUAUUAAAACAAGUUAACUAAUGACAAUAAAAGUUUCUUGGGAGUAGAUUGGCCUAAGGCAGCAUCUGUUACUAUUGUGAUUGUUUAAUUUACAGCUACCUGUAACAAAUAAAGGUAAAAUUUGAC
ensembl:lncRNA